rnacentral:rRNA from 1 species
AUAUUUAUAUGAGAGUUUGAUCCUGGCUCAGGAUGAACGCUGGCGGCGUGCCUAAUACAUGCAAGUCGAACGAGUUUUGGUCGAUGAACGGUGCUUGCACUGUGAUUCAACUUAAAACGAGUGGCGGACGGGUGAGUAACACGUGGGUAACCUGCCCUUAAGUGGGGGAUAACAUUUGGAAACAGAUGCUAAUACCGCAUAAAUCCAAGAACCGCAUGGU